UCGCGGCUUAUCACCGGCAGUCCCCUUAGAGUGCCCAACUGAAUGAUGGCAACUAAGGGCGAGGGUUGCGCUCGUUGCGGGACUUAACCCAACAUCUCACGACACGAGCUGACGACAGCCAUGCAGCACCUGUGUUCCGGUUCCCUUUCAGGCACAGCCACCUUUCAGCAGCCUUCCAGACAUGUCAAGGGUAGGUAAGGUUGUUCGCGUUGCAUCGAAUUAAUCCACAUCAUCCACCGCUUGUGCGGGUCCCCGUCAAUUCCUUUGAGUUUUAACCUUGCGGCCGUACUCCCCAGGCGGCUCACUUCACGCGUUAGCUACGGUACCAAGGAAUCGCUUCCCCAACACCUAGUGAGCAUCGUUUAGGGCGUGGACUAC
rnacentral:misc_RNA from 1 species